AUGGACAGUGAGGUACAGUAAGAUGGAAGGAUCUUGGACCUGAUUAAUGAUGCUUGGCGGGAAAAUAAGCUGCCGUAAGAGGAUGUCACCAUUUCACUGAGCCCGAGCAAGACAACGGCGGCACCACAGAGUCUGUGAAAGAACAGAAGAUUAAGUGGACAGACCUGGCCUUACAGGGCCUCCACAAGAAUGUCCCACCCACCAGAAACUGA
rnacentral:lncRNA from 1 species